rnacentral:rRNA from 1 species
AUGACUCUCGGCAACGGAUAUCUCGGCUCUUGCAUCGAUGAAGAACGUAGCGAAAUGCGAUACUUGGUGUGAAUUGCAGAAUCCCGUGAACCAUCGAGUCUUUGAACGCAAGUUGCGCCCGAAGCCAUUAGGUUGAGGGCACGCCUGCCUGGGUGUCACGC